rnacentral:lncRNA from 1 species
UUUGGCAUGAGGUGGUGGAAGUGGCUUUUUCACGGGCCUAGGUAAUGGUGAUCUCAAAAUAGGAGAUGGAGUAGUUGGUGGUUUUGAGUGAGGCGAUGGUGGUGGUGGUCUUAUCACAAUAGGAGGAAGAGUUGGUGGUUUUUGUGGUGGUGAUGGCUUUUUGUAAAAUGGGGGUGGUGGUCUUAUCACAAUAGGAGGAAGAGUUGGUGGUUUUAGUGGAGGUGAUGGCUUUUUGUAAAAUGGGGGUGGUGGUCUUAUCACAAUAGGAGGAAGAGUUGGUGGUUUUAGUGGAGGUGAUGGCUUUUUGUAAAACGGGGGUGGUGGUCUUGUCACAAUGGGAGGAAGAGUUGGUGGUUUUAGUGGUGGUGAUGGCUUUCUGUAAAAUGGGGGUGGGGGUUUCUUGAUGGGAGCUGGGAGCUUGUAAAUAGGACUAGAGGUAGGUGGCUUGGGUUGCUCAUUGUAUUGAGCUAGAGAUGAAGUGAUGAGAACCAUCACUCCAAGCAAUAGCACAAGCGACUUUGAGUAACUCAUCAUCAUCUGUAGGUUUUUGGUUAUGG